rnacentral:misc_RNA from 1 species
UUGACAAGGAAAAUAGAGCUCCUGCCAUUUUACAUCAAGGGUUUAGAAAGUGAAAAGGAUUUGGAAACUCCAGUCUCCACUAGAUAAUAAAAAAUACACAAAAAUAGUCCUCCGGUUUCAAUAAAUAAACUGGACAUGGUAAGGUACUGAGAAAAUAUCCACAAACAUUCAUAUGUUACCAACUAUUUUGGCAAUCCAACGGUCUUUCACAGUAAACUUACCCAGUCAUAGCAUAAUUUGAGGA